GUGCCAGCAGCCGCGGUAAAACGUAGGAGGCGAGCGUUAUCCGGAGUUACUGGGCGUAAAGCGCGUGUAGGUGGCUUGUUACGUCUGCUGUGAAAGCGCCCGGCUUAACCGGGACGAUGCGGUAGAUACGGGCAAGCUUGAGGGUGACAGAGGAGCGUAGAAUUCCGGGUGUAGUGGUGAAAUGCGUAGAGAUCCGGAGGAAUACCAGUGGCGCAAGCGGCGCUCUGGGUCGAGCCUGACACUGAGACGCGAAGGCAUGGGGAGCGAACGGGAUUAGAUACCCCCGUAGUCC
rnacentral:rRNA from 1 species